rnacentral:tRNA from 1 species
GCCCCUGUGGUGUAGUGGCCAAGCACUCAGCCCUUUCAAGGCUGCAACCCGAGUUCGAAUCUCGGCAGGGGCA